GAAAUGCGAUAACUAGUGUGAAUUGCAGAAUUCCGUGAAUCAUCGAGUCUUUGAACGCACAUUGCGCCCCCUGGUAUUCCGGGGGGCAUGCCUGUCCGAGCGUCAUUGCUGCCUAUCAAGCACGGCUUGUGUGUUGGGUCGUCGUCCCCUCUCCGGGGGGGACGGGCCCCAAAGGCAGCGGCGGCACCGCGUCCGAUCCUCGAGCGUAUGGGGCUUUGUCACCCGCUCUGUAGGCCCGGCCGGCGCUUGCCGAACGCAAAUCAAUCUUUUUCCAGGUUGACCUCGGAUCAGGUAGGGAUACCCGCUGAACUUAAGC
rnacentral:misc_RNA from 1 species